UUCCCUUGAUAUGGCGUCUACUAGUGGA
rnacentral:piRNA from 1 species